UUGGAGGGAAGCCAUGCACACGGCAGCUUGGGAAAGGCCAGGUGUGCUUGUUGUGAGGGCGCUGCUGUGACAUCUUAGAGGGCACUUUUUCCUAAUCAAGAAGCUGCUAAUUUUAAUAGAGAAUAGCCUGAGGCGUUUUAAGGUCAAACUAGAAAUAUGUUGAUGAUUUAAAAAUGCAAGCCAAGUGUGUUAUUAUAUUACAGCUGCAGUGUUAUUGUAGUUUAAGGAUAUCCGUAAAUCAGCACAAACCCACACGUAUCGUUUCCUACACAUUUUUCACCAAGCUGCCUUCUGUCUGUGAGUAAUCAGCUAAUCUCCUCCUCGCCUCACCAUCCCUCCAAGUGACAGAUCCGUUCCUCCCUAUUACAGAAGGUCUUCAUUUACUGUGUGCCUCGCCCACAGCACUUUCUGGCUCGGGCUUGAAUCUGGAAACUCACUCUCAGAAUGCAGAGACCGUCAUGUCAUGUCAGGAUGCAGAAUGCAGUUGUCCUCCUUUGUCUCCCACGUCCGCCAUUAGUCCAGGAGACUUAAUCUACAGUGUGGAGAAACCAGAAGACUUGGGCUGAGUAAUGUGCUCUCUCAACACUGCAGAGCUGUCUUUGCAUCGGGUCACAGCAGUCUGAACUCAAACAUGAUGGAACAAACUGCACUCUGGAGCCAGAGCAAUGUCCUCCUUGAUGUCAGUCUACUGCGCAGGGCAACUCACAGAGAUGCAUUCCUGUAACUAAGACUGUUAGAAGCACUUGAGAUUCACUGGCUUCCAAUAACUCCCGAGCACAUAACAGACCGUAAUGUAGUGAUGAUUUAUCUGAAUAAAGUAGCUUCUAUAAAUAUGUAUAAGAAGGCAGAAGUAUUCAAUGCUAUAUGCAUUUUUUUUUUUUGAGGCACAAUCGUACGUCUGUAGCCCAUGCUAGUCUGGAACUUACCAUGUAGUUCAGACUACAUGCCUUGGGACUUGUAGCAAUCUGCCUAUCCUGGCCUCCUGUGUACUGGUGAUUUAAUGUAUUUAAAAAUAUCAUUCAGAUUUGUUUAUUCCUGAUCUACCUAAAAUUAUGUUAACAAGUGAUCCAGAUGACAAUAAUAUUUUUAAUGUAUCAAAAUAUUUUGAGAUUACAAAAUUACAUGUUUAUAAAAAAGUGAAUUGUCAUUUGCACUUUCAUAAGGCAUCUUGUUACAUUUUAAGGAAUAUAAAACACUCAUAUUCAAGGCAUUGGCUACCUAUUAAAAUGGCAUGUUUAUGAAAAUCAUAAGUCACUGCUCAAAAAGAGCUUGCCAUGUGCUAGCAACUGUGCUAAGAAUUUUUCAUGUAUUUGUCCUUUUGAAUUUCCUCAAAAUAUCAAGUAAUUAUUAUGCCUGAGUGUCCUUGUGUUAGAUGGCUUGCUCAAAACCCUGCAGCCAAGUAGCUCAACACGGGUGGAUUGUUCCUGCUACUAUACAGUUUGGAUAAGCAAACUGGAUGAAGAAAAACUUCAAAAGAAAUGAACUCUGGUUGGACAUUGACACAGGCAGAUGAAUCUCUGUGAGUUCAAAGCCAGCCUGAUUCAUACAGAAAGUUUCAGGACAGCUGUUACAUGGUAAGACUUUUGUUUCAAAAGUGAAUCAAACCAAGCAGUUCCCCAAAACAAAGAAACCACAGGAUAACAACCACCACCACCACCAAAAUAAGGACUCUGGGAGGUGCUUGGGGACGGGGUUGGCAAAUACAUUUAUGUAACCAAGAAUAACCUUCUAAGUCAAAGACUUUAAAUUAAAACCAUGUAGUUAUGAUUAUACAUAAAUAUACCAAUAACACGGAAAUUAGAACCAUGUAGGUUUCUGGCGAUUCUUACCGAGGGUUAGAUGGAGAAGGUGGAUUCAUUUCUUUCUGAUAGUGACGGCCCUGGUUCACAGGCUGAAAGAAACAAAACAUCUGUGAGGCAGAAACCAAUCAGCUCGGUAACUUUUGUGCACACCUUCACAUGGAUCCUCAUUUCUGAUAUUUUGAUAUGAACAGUUCUCAUUUGUUGAUAUCUUAUUUUUGAUAUCCCAUCUACAGGAAAGAGCUGGGUCCUCUUCACAGCAUAGGCAAAGGCUCUGAGAGAUCCAGCAAAUCACAGGGUGAUAUAACCCAUGAAACCCAGGCCACUUUAAUCACUAGCGAUAAGGCUCACCAGCAUCUGUGAUGUAAACAGAGGCCUCACGUUAGAGCUCUCCUUGUGGAGUCUUUAUGCUGUUGCUGUUUCCAGAGACAGCAAAAGAUAACCAGACCUCCUGUUGGAAGCACUGGCAAUAACUAGAGACACAGCAAAACAUAUUUAUGUUUCAAUGCCAGUAAGUUUGCGAGGUUUACUUCCAUUGCCAUUAACUUGGAUUAUUCAUAUAAAUCUUAGGUAAAAUAUAAAUCAAAUAUAUAAGACAACUGUGAAGAUUGAUCAAAAUGAGCUGACAAAGUGGGGCUAAUAGAAAUGGGAACUCCCAACACCCCCCACAAUAAACCUUUCAUCAUUACUUGAAACGCAACUAAAAAACAAACAAAAAAACCCAAAAAAACCAAAAGACAGAAAAAUAAACUAAUGCCAAUAAUAAAACGUGAUUUCUUUUCCUCUUUGGGAAGAAAGUUUGUUGUAGCUAAUACCAACUCCAUUUUGAGGAUAAUUCUAAAUAUUUUCCUUAUGUGGCCAACAAAGAUAAAAUUCUAACAUGGAAACCACUUUAUUUUGGACUUCAUAUUUUACCGCACAUUGGAACUUGGUAUGUAUUUGCGAAUUGCAUAUAGAACUCCUCCUCCCAGAGGGGUUGUUAAGGCCUCCUUACCCCAGUGAAUAUAUGUGGUCCCUCAGAGCAGACCCAAGCCAAGGUCAACAGCUAUGGUGUGGUAUGGUGCAGUGCGGUGUGGUGUGGUGGUUGUUCAUAAAGAGCCUACCUUCUUCAUUCCCCACAUAGUCUUUAUUUUAAGGGUCCUAAAAUAUUAAUACCACAGGUGGUGGGCGCUGCUUGUAAGAGUAACCUCUUACACAUGCUCUUUUGAUACAUGUCCAUCACCUGUGUGAGACUCACGCCACUUAGCCUAGCUCCCUGGGACGCAGCAUGCAUUUCAGCGCUCUCAGGUACUUGGUGACUGAAUACCAUCACCAUCUCAGUAAUCAGAAAUAACAGCUGGGAGAACAGUGGAAAGGAAAUAUGUCAUAAGGCAUAACUCAUCUCACCAGAGAAAUCAAACUUUCAGCAAUUUGCAAGUGAAAUUUAGUUGACAAUUUAGACUUUAUUACUUCAUAGCCAGAGUUGCUUCUCUGGAUCAGCUCUCACUGGUAUAGAAAAUUAUUCCCAAUAAUGGAGUCAUUGGUAUUCACUCAGUACUUCUGCAGCACAAAGGCCUCUGCUGAAUGGACUUCUGCUUAUUUAUUUCCACAGGCAUUUCCAGAACUUUCUGGGUAUCACAGUUCUGAUAUUUGAGCAAAUGUCCACCCCUGAACCUUACAAGCAUUAGUUCCAUGUACACUUAUCUCAAGCUCUUAUUCCAGACUCUGUCUUUCCGUCUUGGAAAGUGCCCACUGUGCUGGCAACGCAGCUCUCUGCACUCGGCACACUUGUUCCUCUCCCUCUUUGGUCGUGUUUACAUAACGUAAAACAG